rnacentral:lncRNA from 1 species
CACAGCCUAGUUACUGCAUCUUUGAAAUAAGAAUUUUCGGGCCGGGGAUUUAGCUCAGUGGUUCUGCCGCCUGCCUCUCAAGCGUAGGGUCCUGAGUUAGAUCUCUGGUACCAAAAAAAUAAUUUUCUCUUUUGUGGUACUGGGGAUUGAACCCAGGGCCUUUGUACUGAGCACAUAUAUACAUACAUUUAUUUCAUU